UAUUUUCCAAUCCAUCCCUGAGUGGUAAGUAGUCACAGCUAUCCUAAUUCUCCCUUUAGUCAUUGAGCUGCACAGCGCACGCAGUUUGCUUAUCCUGUCUCCUAUUGAUCGGGAUGCUUCCAGCUUGUAGUUAUUCUGAACGUCGAGACUGUGUGCAUUCUUCACAGACCUGGGUACAUUUCUUAGUGUGGAAUAUUAAGCCAAGUGCAUGCUGGGAACUUUGUGCCUCACAGAAUGCCGACGAUAAUCUCAAAUAAAAAGCCUCACCCACUGCCACUCCCAGGGAACUUAUAAGCUGUUACAAACCAAAGAACAAAAAAUUAUGAGGGUGCAAUUACAAUUCAGACCAAUGCCUUAAAGGGAACAAUAUGUUCCUGUGAGCAAAGGACCUAAACCAUGGAGGGACAGAAUCUGACUAGAGCAUUGCUGUUUGCUGCUGUUGCUGCUGUAGCUGCUGCUGUCCCAGGGGUCAAGGCUGAGACCAGGACAAAGGGAACCGUCUGGCUGGAGUGAGAGAAUAAGUAGAAUAUCC
rnacentral:lncRNA from 1 species